rnacentral:rRNA from 1 species
AACCCGGUGAACUGAAACAUCUAAGUAGCCGGAGGAAGAGAAAUCAAACGAGAUGCCCACAGUAGCGGCGAGCGAAGAGGGCAGAGCCUAAACCAGUCAUCUUCGGAUGGUUGGGGUUACGGACCUGCAUCAACCGAGUCCUACCUAGUCGAAUUACCUGGAAAGGUAAGCCAGAGAGCGUAAGAGCCGCGUAGGUGAAAGGAAGGACGAGGGGGCAGGGAUCCAGAGUACCACGAAGCACGAGGAAUUUUGUGGGAAGUCGGGGGGACCACCCUCCAAGGCUAAACACUUCUUAGUGACCGAUAGCGCAUAGUACCGUGAGGGAAAGGUGAAAAGAACCGCGGGAGCGGAGUGAAAGAGAACCUGAAACCGUAUGUCUACAAGCAGUCGGAGCGCAAGCGACGGCGUGCCUAUUGAAGAAUGAGCCAACGAGUUACGGGCACCAGCGAGGUUAAGCAGGAAAUGCGGAGCCGGAGCGAAAGCGAGUCUAAACAGGGCGAAUAGUUGGUGUUCGUAGACCCGAAACUGUAGUGAUCUACCCAUGAUCAGGUUGAAGCGCAGGUAAAAAUGCGUGGAGGACCGAACCGGUGAGCGUUGAAAAGCUUUCGGAUGAAUCGUGGGUAGCGGUGAAAUUCCAAUCGAACGCAGAGAUAGCUGGUUCUCCUCGAAAUAGCUUUAGGGCUAGCCUCAAGCAGUAAGCAUAGGCGGUAGAGCACUGAUCGGGAUAGGGUCCGUAAAGGAUACCGAACCCUGUCAAACUACGAAUGGUUAUGCUGCAGAGCUUGGGAGUCAGACUACGAGAGAUAAGUCCCGUUGUCAAAAGGGAAACAGCCCAGACCGUCAGCUAAGGUCCCCAAUGCCAUACUAAGUGGAAAAGGAUGUGGGGUCUCAUAAACAACCAGGAUGUUGGCUCAGAAGCAGCCACCAUUUAAAGAGUGCGUAAUAGCUCACUGGUCGAGAGGCCCUGCGCCGAAGAUUCCCGGGGCUAAAGUAUGGAACCGAAGCUACGGAUGCGGUACUUGUACCGCGUGGUAGAGGAGCGUUCCCAUUGGGUUGAAGUCGUCCUGGAAGGGACGGUGGACUGGUGGGAAGUGAGAAUGUUGGCAUGAGUAGCGAAAAGAUAGGUGAGAAUCCUAUCCACCGAAAGCAUAAGGAUUCCUGAGCAACGAUCGUCGUCUCAGGGUAAGUCGGGACCUAAUCCGAGGCAUGGAGCGUAGGAGAUGGACAACUGGUUGAUAUUCCAGUACCGGCAGCAAUCGUUUGAACGAUGGAGUGACGCAGGAAGGCAGGUCCGCGCGAGAAUGGUAGAUCGCGUACAAGCGUGCAGGCUGGUGCACAGGCAAAUCCGUGUACUGAGGCUGAGGCGUGAUGUGGAGGGAACUUGUUCCCGAAGGGAUUGAGCCUACGCUGCCGAGAAAAGCUUCUAGUGAGAAAGCUGCCGCCCGUACCGUAAACCGACACAGGUAUGCGGGGAGAGAAUCCUAAGGUGCGCGGGAGAACCCUCGUUAAGGAACUCGGCAAAAUGUACCCGUAACUUCGGGAUAAGGGUAGCCACAGUGGUGAAGGGACUUGCUCCUGGAGCCUAGUGUGGUCGCAGAGAAGAGGCCCAAGCGACUGUUAACCAGAAACACAGGUGCCUGCGAAAGAGAAAUCUGAUGUAUAGGUGCUGACACCUGCCCAGUGCUGGAAGGUUAAAGAAGGAUGUCCGGGUUCGACCCAAAGCAUUUGACUGAAGCCCCAGUGAACGGCGGCCGUAACUAUAACGGUCCUAAGGUAGCGAAAUUCCUUGUCGGGUAAGUUCCGACCCGCACGAAAGGUGUAACGAUUUGGGCACUGUCUCAACGAGGGACCCGGUGAAAUUGAAAUACCUGUGAAGAUGCAGGUUACCCGCGACUGGACAGAAAGACCCCAUGGAGCUUUACUGUAACCUAAUAUUGGGUUCUGAUAUUCGACGCACAGGAUAGGUGGGAGGCUUGGAGCAUGGUCCUCUGGGAUCAUGGGAGCCGCCGUUGGGAUACCACCCUUCGAAUAUCGGGAUUCUAACCGCAGGAGCAACGAUCCUCGGGACAGUGUUAGGCGGGCAGUUUGACUGGGGCGGUCGCCUCCUAAAGGGUAACGGAGGCGCCCAAAGGUUCCCUCAGCGCGGACGGAAACCGCGCGACGAGUGUAAAGGCAGAAGGGAGCUUGACUGCGAGCCAAACACGGCGAGCAGGUACGAAAGUAGGGCUUAGUGAUCCGGUGGCAUCCAAGUGGAAGGGCCAUCGCUCAACGGAUAAAAGCUACCCUGG